AUCUGACACCUUGGGUGGAGCUGGUCCGCUUGGGGAUAAGGUAAAGGAGCAUAGUGACUAAUUUGGGGGUGAGGGGAGGAUGGUGGGACAAUGGGGAGCAAACUUGUGACAACCUUGGGGGGUGGGAGAGAAUGGUAUGCCUGCUGUUUAGAAAUGUGGGAAGAUGGGGAGGAAGCUUUUGACUAUUUUGGGGGGGUGGGGGUGGAUGGUUAGCGUGCAUGUGAUUGCUGGGGAAGGGGGAAGAUGGUGAACCUGUUUCUGAUUGC